rnacentral:rRNA from 1 species
GACGAACGCUGGCGGCGUGCCUAACACAUGCAAGUCGAGCGGAGCCAACUAAACAAUCCCUUCGGGGUGCGUUUGGGGAAGCUUAGCGGCGGACGGGUGAGUAACGCGUGAGUAACCUGCCCAUUAGGGGGGAAUAACACAGAGAAAUUUGUGCUAAUACCGCAUACUGAAUAUUUACCGCAUGAUAGGAAUUUGAAAGAUUUAUCGCUAAUGGAUGGACUCGCGUCUGAUUAGAUAGUUGAUGCGGUAACGGCUCACCAAGUCGACGAUCAGUAGCCGAACUGAGAGGUUGAUCGGCCACAUUGGGACUGAGACACGGCCCAGACUCCUACGGGAGGCAGCAGUGGGGGAUAUUGCGCAAUGGGGGAAACCCUGACGCAGCAACGCCGCGUGCAGGAUGACGGCCUUCGGGUUGUAAACUGUUGUCGCAAGGGAAGAAUAAAUGACGGUACCUUGUGAGAAAGCCACGGCUAACUACGUGCCAGCCGCCGCAGUAAGAC